GUGCCAGCAGCCGCGGUAAUACCUAGGUGUCAAGCGUUAUCCGGAAUUACUGGGCGUAAAGGGUGCGCAGGCGGCGCGACAAGUCCGGCGUGAAAGCUUCUGGCUUAACUGGGAGAGGACGUCGGAAACUGUCGAGCUAGAGUGAAUGAGAGGGGGGCGGAAAUCCCGGUGUAGUGGUGGAAUGCGUAGAUAUCGGGAAGAACACCAGAGGCGAAGGCGGCCUCCUGGCAUUUUACUGACGCUGAGGCACGAAAGCGUGGGUAGCGAACGGGAUUAGAUACCCCGGUAGUCCACGCUGUAAACGAUGUGAACGAGGUGUGGGCGGUGUAGAAGCCGUCUGUGCCGGAGCAAACGCGAUAAGUUCACCGCCUGGGGAGUACGGUCGCAAGGCUAAAACUCAAAGAAAUUGACGG
rnacentral:rRNA from 1 species